rnacentral:tRNA from 2 species
GCGGGCGUGGCGAAACUGGCAGACGCACUAGACUUAGGAUCUAGCGGGCAACCGUGUGGGUUCGACUCCCUCCGCCCGCA